rnacentral:snoRNA from 1 species
CUCCCGCCAAAGUCAGACUGCAGUGACCCUGUGCAUUCCUGCAGCGGCUGCAAGAAGAACUUAGAAACAGUCUGAGACCUUGCUCCCACCAUCUACAGAGCAAGGUUAUAGAAAUUUCAAAUGUUC